GUACUGACUUGGACUUAUUGCUAAAUGAGGUCUUGGUAUUGACCUUGAGGUUUCUUUGACGAGAAGCACUUCCUUCCUUUAGAAAUCAGCCCAGUCAUCGGCGUAUUGCACAAAUGAAGCUAGCUGAAGUAAAGGCUUGGCGUCAAACAGGAUUCGAUGGUAUUCUGUCUUGACCUUGACUCAGUCGUGCUUGCAUUUGACCCCCUUAAGACUCGGUCUUGACUCCAUCUCAGCUAGUCCUGGUCUUGAACUCUUGGACAAUGGCAUUCUUGAACUACUCGGAAGGAAGUACGAACCCAUUUUCGGUCCCCUCGUUCUUGAGACACACGCAUGUAGUCAGAGAGAGUGUGUGUGGUGUCCAGCCUACACAAUGUAGACGUAAAACCCACUGUAGCAAAGCAUUUAUUUAUUUAUUUAUUUUUAUUUUUGUUUUUUUGCAUUAGCCUAAUUGUAGCAGGCCAAAUCCCCUCCCCCUCCCCAGUCUAAUCUCAGGCAUACCAGUCCAGCAGUUGCUAUAUUCUGCUGCCACAGUGUUGUAAAUCAUAUUUGUCUUAUGAAAACUGGACAAACUAAAGCUACUUCUAAAAUUUUCCUCUAUAAUAUUAGUGUAUAAAGAUGUUCUUCAGGCCCGAUCGAGGGAUUAAGAUAAAGCCUGUGGAAAACCUUUCGCCCACUACGUCGACAUCAACCAGUCAAACACACCACACUGACUGUGGUCUCCGAAAGACAAACGAAUGAAAUUAUUCAGGUAUUCCUGCAUUAUGUAAUUUAAUUUUUUUUUUUUUUUUAAAUAUAAUCUCUUUUAGAUAUGACAAAUAUGACAGAAUGUUUAUGUCAUUGUGUUGAAGUGCAAGCUCAAUGUUUAAAACAAAACAAAAAAACAUUAUAUAAGAUACUAUAUUAAGACAAACUAGCUGAGAUAAAUACAUUUUGAACUGGUCGCUAUUUAAAUGUACAGUUAAUUGGCAUCUCUAUGAUUUAUAUGUAAUCAUCCUUACUGCUUUCAGCCAGUAAUAAUUGAGUGCUGUUACUUAAAUAAAUGAUAAACACUUGAUCAAUCUGCUCUGAAAUGACACGGCUGAAUUUUUUAAACGAUCUUACAGCGCACUCUGGUGGUGUCGGAGGGAACUGCAACCGUCUCUAAGGAGCGUUCAACCCUUUCAGUUCAGAGCCCAUUGAAGCCUCAGAUUCCUGUUCCUAGCCCAUCCACCUCAAGAACGGAAAAUGGAACGAGACGGAGCGACUGUUUUUGGCGGCUGUAACGUAACGUGAGAAGAGGAACUAACUUGUUUCGCGGAUGUUCAACAGUAAUGAAUGCAGGUAUAAAUUGAUUUUUUAAAAUUAUAUCGGUUAGUAAAAAAUUUUAGCUUUGAAAAUAUGUUGCUGAGGUACAAAAGGAAUAAAAUACUAUGGGAUGGGUUGUUCUAGGAAAAUAAUCAACUUGCUUACAUAAUGUGCCUCGAAUCAAUCAUGAGAUCUGCUAUUAUUGUUUCUAUUAAAUCCUGAACUGGACAGUCUUUGACCCAGGAUAAGAACCCCUGAUGAAGGAAACCAACAAAGGACUAUUUGCAGGAAUUUUGCCUAGAGUAUGGGAUGGAAAAAGCCAUAAUGCUACAUAUGAUGCUAGUUGUGUGAAGGGCCAGUUGUGUGAAAUGCUAAUUGUGUUAUGCUAGUUGUGUGUUAUGCUAGUUAUGUGAAAUGUUAGUUGUGUGAAAUGCUAGUUGUGUGUUAUGCUAGUUAUGUGUAAUGUUAGUUGUGUGAAAUGCUAGUUGUGUGAAAUGCUAGUUGUGUGAAAUGCUAGUUGUGUGAAAUGCUAGUUGUGUGAAAGGCCAGUUGUGUGAUGCUAGUUAUGUGAAAUGUUAGUUGUGUGAAAUGUUAGUUGUGUGAAAUGUUAGUUGUGUUAUGCUAGUUGUGUGAAAUGCUAGUUGUGUCAUGCUAGUUGUGUGAAAGGCCAGUUGUGUUAAAUGCUAGUUGUGUGAAAUACUAGUUGUGUGAAAUGCUAGUUGUGUGAAAUGCUAGUUGUGUGAAAUGCUAGUUGUGUGAAAGGCCAGUUGUGUGAAAUGCUAGUUGUGUGAAAUGCCAGUUGUGUGAAAGGCCAGUUGUGUGAAUGCUAGUUGUGUGAAAUGCCAGUUGUGUGAAAUGUUAGUUGUGUGAAAUGUUAGUUGUGUGAAAUGUUAGUUGUGUGAAAUGCUAGUUGUGUGAUGCUAGUUUUAUGAGAGCAUGUUAAUGUUAUGUUAGUGGCAGAUGUACAGAUUAGCAGCAUUGCUACAAUAAGUUUUGGGAUCUUGGACAUUUCUGAAAUCUCAGCACAGCGUGCAGUGUUUGGAUGUACUUUUAACUAGUGAUAUUCGUGAACGUUAUCUAGCUAAUUUUUCUCCAGGACUUUGCUAGUCACCUUUAACAGCGGCUCUCGAGCUCGAGGCUGAAUUCUUCAAAGACUAAAAUUUAACUCGGUUUACCAUCAAUCCAACUUUCUU
ensembl:lncRNA